rnacentral:rRNA from 1 species
CUUUGGGAUAACCCUCGGAAACGGGGGCUAAUACCGGAUAUUCACUUGCGGACGCAUGUUUGUGGGUGGAAAGAUUUUUCGGCUUGGGAUGGGCUCGCGGCCUAUCGGCUUGUUGGUGGGGUGAUGGCCUACCAAGGCGACGACGGGUAGCCGGCCUGAGAGGGCGACCGGCCACACUGGGACUGAGACACGGCCCAGACUCCUACGGGAGGCAGCAGUGGGGAAUAUUGCACAAUGGGCGGAAGCCUGAUGCAGCGACGCCGCGUGAGGGAUGACGGCCUUCGGGUUGUAAACCUCUUUCAGCAGGGACGAAGCGUGAGUGACGGUACCUGCAGAAGAAGCGCCGGCCAACUACGUGCCAGCAGCCGCGGUAAGACGUAGGGCGCGAGCGUUGUCCGGAUUUAUUGGGCGUAAAGAGCUCGUAGGCGGCUUGUCGCGUCGACUGUGAAAACCCACAGCUCAACUGUGGGCUUGCAGUCGAUACGGGCAGGCUAGAGUUCGGUAGGGGAGACUGGAAUUCCUGGUGUAGCGGUGAAAUGCGCAGAUAUCAGGAGGAACACCGGUGGCGAAGGCGGGUCUCUGGGCCGAUACUGACGCUGAGGAGCGAAAGCGUGGGGAGCGAACAGGAUUAGAUACCCUGGUAGUCCACGCUGUAAACGUUGGGCGC